rnacentral:lncRNA from 1 species
AAAAGCCGGACUCAGGAUUGAGUACAGCUUUUAAGAAGAAACCAAGGACCAGUCCCCCCUCCUGGAGCAGAGGACUGGAGGAUCAGACUGUAAAUUCAAGCUGGCUAAGUGAAGUUCCCCUACCGCAAAGACUUCACAUCGCUCUUGGUAGACUGUAGUAGCUUCUGCGCAUCCUAUUUAUCAUGUUCCAAUUUGAGACCCAUGAAGCUCCUACCUGGAGGUCAUUUUGAACACUUAACAAAGCAGCGUUUUUCUCAACGUGACUCCAGGAGUUAAAAGCAGAGAAUCUGCAAAGGGAGGGAGAGGAUCAGCGUGAGCCUUGCCCAUCGAGAAGGUUUCAAAGAUUUCCCUUGCCUGUCAGCAGCAUCCUGGUUGUGUGGGUGACCAGCUGUGUCUACCUCUUGCUGGGAAAAGGAGGAGACAGGUAGGAGCUCUUUGCCCCC